UCCUUUCGUUCCGGCGGCUCCUAGAGCGUUUGCUUUGUUCCCGAUAUGUCUCGUCCCUCCGGGGUUAACUUGCAGAUGGUGAGUUGAGUCCACACAGCACAAGUUUUUUUUUUGUUAACCUCUUAUCAAGUUUAGUCGCUGUAACCGCUCCUAGUCUCCAAGUGUUGCUUAUGGAGCGCGAUCCCCAGGUUGACCUUCGAAGACGUGAUUCAAGUGGAAAAGACGCCUUCUGCUUUGGCCUGGGAAGCUUUUUGCUGGUGUAAAUGAUGAACUCACUUUUUUCCCCGUCAUAUCGACAGUGCUGAUGUUUUAAAACAUUUGCCAGUUUGUCCUGAUAAACACCAGCCUUCGAGGACCCUGGUCUUCUUUGUUCCUGGUCGAGGAUAUAGGUGGUGAUGGACGCUUUUGUUUUGUAGGUUGACCUGACCAAGCAGGACAGCAUGGAGGUUGGAGGGAGAGAAGGGCAUCGAGGGAGAUGAGAACUCACCUACCAUCUGAAAGUCUUAAGGUUUGCUGACAGACAAAACCGGGCUUUGAAUGGAGCGUGAACUCCUGAGGCGAGCAUUGGCCCGAGAGAGCCGAGGAUGCAGGUGUUGGUCUGAUCUUGAUUUCAGGUACUUUUGGAAUACAGAAUACCAGAUGUGUUCCUGCUGCCCAGCCCCACAAGGCUAUGCAGAAUGCAAAGAAGAGUUACUUUUUGGCUGGGGAGUAGUGGUAUCAUGUGCACUAUUGCUGGAAAUAAUAAAUAUUGGCCUAUCUGUAGAAAUAAAAAUCUGACUAAUGAUAUUUA
rnacentral:lncRNA from 1 species